rnacentral:lncRNA from 1 species
GGUUUCAUUGUUUAACGAAGAACCGUCGCCGUCCAUUAUUCAACCACAAAUCACCACCGAUGUAAGUUACUCCUUAUCUUUCUUUCUCUCUUUCCCUCUCUUUCUCUCUGACUAUGGUUGAAAUAUUAAGUUUGGUUGAACUAUUUCUGAUGGGUUUGACUUUGUUUUGUUUUAACUCCGAUUCUAAAACUGCUUCUUCAGAUUGAUUUUGAAGGUGUUGUCGGUAAAUAUUGUUCCUACUCAGCUCGCCGACAACUUCCGGAAUAAGAAGCCUGAGGUUUUACUCUUGGCCGUUAUAAACUUCAUGUUAUCUAUAGCUACCUAAUAACUAGCUGUUCAAAUAAAAAGUGAUUUUUAAAAAGUGAUUUUUGAAGCUAUAACUACUGGAUAACGCAACAGCAAAUGAAGAAUCAUUAGUUACUGCUAUGAAGAAAUAAUCAUUUUCUUACACAAGUUUGAAAUCACUUUUUUCAAGCAUUAACAAUAGGCUCUUAUAUCAUGCUAGUCUUGCAUCUGACAAAAAUAAGUUUAAGUGUUAUAGAGUGAUUUGUUUUUAGAAUUAGUUAUUUGUGAUUGGGGCAAGUAUUUUUGAACUACUGUUUUGCAGCCUCAGUGUUCUGUUAUUUUCUAUUUAUUUUGUACUUUCUUGAAUUUCAUAUAUGUUAUAAAACUAUUUCAUUGUUCAGUUGUUUGGGUUGUGAUUAUUAGUUUGAGUAAGCUAAGCUAUACUUGAUGUGUGAGUUUUGUGUAUGGUUCACAUUAGUUCUGGUUUUGUUUGAAUAGCUUUAUACUGAUUAUUAUGGCUUGUUUGAAUAUUAUGAGAAUGGUUUGGACAUAUCAAGAUAUUACGAUGCUUAGGUGUUGGAUCAUAAGUCACAUUCAUUUUAAUAGUUGUUGCUUUUAAUCCUAGGAUUUAACCUUUUAAUUAUAAAUUGAAUUGAGGAAUUCAAUUUUUAUAUCUUCUCCGUUAGAGAAUUCUUUACUUUCCCCAAGUUGAAAACUUUGUUAGUUCAUGUAAAGUUUAUUAUUCUCUUUUCUCAUUUCAUCUAUUUGUAUAGAUAUAUAAAUAUAGAUGAUAUACUUAAAUUUUUACCUUAGCUGCAUAUUGAAAUGUUUUUUUUGUCAAUGUCUGAACCUCAUCAGUCUUUUUGAUUACGUUAUCUAGUAAUUUAUAUGCUGUUUCUGUCAUCAUAUUUGGUUUAUAGGGUGAAAGUAUGUGCAAAUCAGGCCUAACAAUUGUUUAUAUGUACAUCUUAAUUGAAAUUGCUUUACACAAUAGAUCUGUCCAACUGUAGUUUGUUUUGGAAGUCGUGUUAUUUAAUUUGAAAUUUGCUUUAACACAGAAAAGAUGUAGACUAACAACCAAGUUUGUUUACAAAGUCUGAAUAUUCGAUAAAAAUCAAAAAAGAAAUGAAAAUUUAAUAAUUAUGAGGGCAUGGUCAAGAGUAUUUCAAUCUUGGUUGUUUCUAAUGGAAUCUGUAAACCAAUGUGCUGUUAUUGUAACGAGGAACAAUAUUCUAAAGGUAAUUGGAUGAGUCCUGCCGCCAACGACCUAACUCAAUCGAAGUAUAAAUCUGUGUCCAAAAACCGUUUAAUCCAUUAUACAUCGUUUAAUACUUUGAUAGUUUUUUAAUAUAAAUAUUAUUUGUAAUUCUUGUCUGUUUGUAACUAUUUUAAAAUAAUAUUUAUAAGUAUUCCUCUAUUUGUUUUGUAUCCUCUAAGGGCCACAUGGUUUGGUCGGUUGUGGGCUGGGUUUCUUUAUUCUGUCCAGCGCCUAACACUCCCUAUUCAAAUACUUGUCUUUUUAAAUUUCUUUUCGUUGAAAACAUUGAACUUUCUAACCAGCAAUCAACCGCACCGACACAAUUUCAAGGUAAGUGUCCUAAUAAGGUAUUCUCAUAUGAAGUGGCAUUUAGGCAAAGAAUGAGUUGUUAUUAUUUGGCUUGUACUGUAUGCUUUAGUGUGAUAAUAAUUUGUUAUGAAGGUGCCAGCUAAUUGAUCAUAGCACGAAUGGGAAGAAGAUAAAUUUGAGUUUGGUUGGCCUACUCAACAACACUUGAUGUCAGAAGCAGUGGAUGCAUAUCAUUAAAAUUUAUUUUCUAGUUCUGCUAAUAAGAUGCAGUUCUUAAACAUUUAUCCUCAUAUUAAUGCUGGAAAAAAAUUAUUGGUGCGCGUUGGUAUAUUAAAGGAUAUGAAGUAGAAUUCGGUAAUCACACUUCUGGUACUAGUUUUCUGUAAUCACACUUCUUUUUUCAAAUGAUUUUUCAUCACUUUUUAAUAUGAGUGUAAUAUGUACCGUUGGGCCUCACAAGCUUCAAAUGCAUUCAUAACGUGAUAAGAAAAAUUAGAGAAACUGAGACUACAUGCAUUCCACCAUUAAACAAUAUGUUCACAAAUCAUUACUAAUUGAGCACAUACAAGAUUGAUCAUAGUUUUAAAACACAUGCCUAAAUGAAUGAAGAGAAAAGCAAGAAUAUGGAAGUGAGGAGAAAAACAGUACAUGUUUCUAUACUAUCUACUUCAGUACAUACAAGUGUAAAACUUCCCGAGAUAUUAUCAAAAUGUUGAGAUUUUAUAUAAUCAUUUUGACAAUUAUAUAUGUACACAGGUGAAAAUUUUAGUGACCAAUCUUACAAAACUCACUCAACUUUUAUAUUAAUCUAUACCGACCAACAAAAACAAAUGAUUUCUAAGUAGAUAUUGUUUCUUGAGGUCUGCACUUCCGAAUUCUGAUAUGCACAUUACCAUCUUUUAUGCUUCCACCAUCCAUAAAUUGGCAGAUCUCUUAUAGGUCAUUAGACUUCCGGCACCCACCUUUAUGUUUCUAAUUGACAAUUCUUGUUUUGUUGGUUGUGUUUUGGUACUGGAAGAUGGAGCGCGGCAAAAGUAGCUUGCAAGGAG